UACGUAGGGUGCGAGCGUUGUCCGGAAUUACUGGGCGUAAAGAGCUCGUAGGUGGUUUGUCGCGUUGUUCGUGAAAACUCACAGCUCAACUGUGGGCGUGCGGGCGAUACGGGCAGACUAGAGUACUGCAGGGGAGACUGGAAUUCCUGGUGUAGCGGUGGAAUGCGCAGAUAUCAGGAGGAACACCCGUGGCGAAAGCGGCUCUCUGGAACGGUACUGACGCUGAGACGCGAAAGCGUGGGGAGCGAACAGG
rnacentral:rRNA from 1 species